CCCUUAGAUGUUCUGGGCUGCACGCGCGCUACACUGAUGCGCUCAACGAGUUUACGACCUUGCCCGGAAGGGUUGGGUAAUCUUUUUAAAACGCAUCGUGAUGGGGAUAGAUUAUUGCAAUUAUUAAUCUUUAACGAGGAAUUCCUAGUAAGCGCGAGUCAUCAGCUCGUGCUGAUUACGUCCCUGCCCUUUGUACACACCGCCCGUCGCUCCUACCGAUUGGAUGAUCCGGUGAGCUAUUCGGACCUUCGCUUCGUCGAUUUUCGGCUUUGUGAGGGAAAGUCUCGCGAACCUUAUCAUCUAGAGGAAGGAGAAGUCGUAACA
rnacentral:rRNA from 1 species